GUGCUUGCUAGGCAGCACAUAUACUAAAAUGGGGUACGGAGAAGAUGAGCAUGGCCCCUGCGCAAGGAGGACAUGCAAGUUCUUGAAGCGUUCCAUAAUAAA
ensembl:snRNA U6 U6 spliceosomal RNA